AGAAGCACAACAAGAAAGGCCUGAAGAA
rnacentral:piRNA from 1 species